UACGGAGGGUGCGAGCGUUGUCCGGAAUCAUUGGGCGUAAAGGGCGCGUAGGUGGCCCGGUGAGUCUUUGGUGAAAGCGCGGGGCUCAACCCUGCGUCGGCCAGGGAUACUGCCGCGGCUCGAGCACUGUAGAGGCAGGCGGAAUUCCGGGGUGUAGCGGUGGAAUGCGUAGAGAUCCGGAAGAACACCGGUGGCGAAGGCGGGUCUCUGGGCCGUAACUGACGCUGAGGAGCGAAAGCAUGGGGAGCGAACAGG
rnacentral:rRNA from 1 species